UGCCAGCAGCCGCGGUAAUACGGAGAGGGCAAGUGUUGUUCGGAUUUAUUGGGCGUAAAGAGCACGUAGGCGGUUGAGUAAGUCGGAUGUUAAAGACCCACGGCUCACCCGGGGGAAUGCGUUCGAAACUGCUCGACUAGAGUAUAGGAGAGGAAAGUGGAAUUCCAGGUGUAGCGGUGAAAUGCGUAGAUAUCUGGAGGAACAUCGGUGGCGAAGGCGGCUUUCUGGACCGAUACUGACGCUGAGACGCGAAAGCGUGGGGAGCAAACAGGAUUAGAUA
rnacentral:rRNA from 1 species